rnacentral:rRNA from 1 species
GACGAAGGGGGCUAGCGUUGUUCGGAAUUACUGGGCGUAAAGCGUAUGCAGGCGGAUCGUUAAGUCGGGGGUGAAAUCCCUCGGCUUAACCGAGGAACUGCCUGUCAGACUGGAAGGCUUGAGACCGGGGAGAGGUGAGUGGAAUUCCCAGUGUAGCGGUGAAAUGCGUAGAUAAUUGGGAGGAACACCAGUGGCGAAGGCGGCUCACUGGACCGGAACUGACGCUGAGGCGCGAAAGCGUGGGGAGCAAACAGG